CGGGUGAGUAAUGUCUGGGAAACUGCCUGAUGGAGGGGGAUAACUACUGGAAACGGUAGCUAAUACCGCAUAACGUCGCAGGACCAAAGAGGGGGACCUUCGGGCCUCUUGCCAUCGGAUGUGCCCAGAUGGGAUUAGCUAGUAGGUGGGGUAAUGGCUCACCUAGGCGACGAUCCCUAGCUGGUCUGAGAGGAUGACCAGCCACACUGGAACUGAGACACGGUCCAG
rnacentral:rRNA from 1 species